rnacentral:rRNA from 1 species
GACGAACGCUGGCGGCGUGCUUAACACAUGCAAGUCGUACGGUAAGGCCCUUUCGGGGGUACACGAGUGGCGAACGGGUGAGUAACACGUGAGUAACCUGCCCACAACUUUGGGAUAACGCUAGGAAACUGGUGCUAAUACUGGAUAUGUGCUCCUGCUGCAUGGUGGGGGUUGGAAAGCUCCGGCGGUUGUGGAUGGACUCGCGGCCUAUCAGCUUGUUGGUGGGGUAGUGGCCUACCAAGGCGGCGACGGGUAGCCGGCCUGAGAGGGUGACCGGCCACAUUGGGACUGAGAUACGGCCCAGACUCCUACGGGAGGCGGCAGUGGGGAAUACUGCACAAUGGGCGCAAGCCUGAUGCAGCAACGCCGCGUGCGGGAUGACGGCCUUCGGGUUGUAAACCGCUUUCAGCAGGGACGAAGCUUUUUGUGACGGUACCUGCAGAAGAAGCACCGGCUAACUACGUG